CGGCGUGCCUAACACAUGCAAGUCGUACGAGAAAGUUGGCUUCGGCCGAUGAGUAAAGUGGCGGCACGGGUGAGUAAUGCGUGGAUAAUCUGCCCUUUAGUUGGGAAUAACGUACCGAAAGGUGCGCUAAUACCUGAUAAUACUGCAUAACUACUGUUGUGUAGUCAAAGAAGGCCUCUGUUUACAAGCUUUUGCUGAAGGAUGAGUCCGCGUACCAUUAGCUGGUUGGUGGGGUAAUGGCCUACCAAGGCUACGAUGGUUAGCUGGUCUGAGAGGAUGAUCAGCCACACUGGAACUGAGACACGGUCCAGACUCCUACGGGAGGCAGCAGUGAGGAAUAUUGCGCAAUGGGGGCAACCCUGACGCAGCAACGCCGCGUGAGUGAGGAAGGUUUUCGGACCGUAAAGCUCUGUCGAGCGGGAAGAAAUGUAUCAUGGCUAAUAUCCAUGAUACUUGACGGUACCGCUAAAGGAAGCACCGGCUAACUCCGUG
rnacentral:rRNA from 1 species